rnacentral:lncRNA from 1 species
AUAACUACCCAUUAAACAACUUGUGUCUUGUCUUCUUCCUAUCUCUGAUCUUAAACCUAUCAAUUUGGUAUCAGAGCCUUCAUCUCGCUUUUGAUUUGGACCACUUUGUGGUAUCAAUAGCAACCUUCAUCCACUAUCUAUCUUGGUUUUGAUCCAGACCACACUUGUGGUAUCAAUCCCUAUUUUUAUCAUCGUUCUCAGUUUUGAUCCGGACCACAUUUAUGGUAUCAAAAUCUAUAUCUUUCAUAUUAAAAAAAAAGAAAAAAAAAAUAGUAGCCACAGGAAGCUGUCCUUUGAUCUUCUAGUCAGAGAAGACGACACAAGCGGAGAAGAUGGGAAGAAGUUAUCCAAG